rnacentral:rRNA from 1 species
CGAACGCUGGCGGCGUGCUUAACACAUGCAAGUCGAGCGGUAAGGCCCUUCGGGGUACACGAGCGGCGAACGGGUGAGUAACACGUGGGUGAUCUGCCCUGUACUUCGGGAUAAGCCUGGGAAACUGGGUCUAAUACCGGAUAUGACCUUACAUCGCAUGGUGUUUGGUGGAAAGAUUUAUCGGUACAGGAUGGGCCCGCGGCCUAUCAGCUUGUUGGUGGGGUAAUGGCCUACCAAGGCGACGACGGGUAGCCGGCCUGAGAGGGCGACCGGCCACACUGGGACUGAGACACGGCCCAGACUCCUACGGGAGGCAGCAGUGGGGAAUAUUGCACAAUGGGCGAAAGCCUGAUGCAGCGACGCCGCGUGAGGGAUGACGGCCUUCGGGUUGUAAACCUCUUUCGACAGGGACGAAGCGCAAGUGACGGUACCUGUAGAAGAAGCACCGGCCAACUACGUGCCAGCAG